rnacentral:rRNA from 1 species
UACGGAGGAUGCAAGCGUUAUCCGGAUUUAUUGGGUUUAAAGGGUCCGUAGGCGGGCUAAUAAGUCAGUGGUGAAAUCGAGCAGCUUAACUGUUCAACUGCCAUUGAAACUGUUGGUCUUGAGUGAAUUUGAAGUUGCCGGAAUAUGUAGUGUAGCGGUGAAAUGCAUAGAUAUUACAUAGAACACCAAUUGCGAAGGCAGGUAACUAAGAUUUAACUGACGCUGAUGGACGAAAGCGUGGGGAGCGAACAGGAUUAGAUACCCCCGUA